rnacentral:rRNA from 1 species
UACGUAGGGGGCAAGCGUUGUCCGGAAUUAUUGGGCGUAAAGCGCGUGUAGGCGGCUCGGUAAGUCUGCUGUGAAAGUCCAAGGCUCAACCUUGGAAAGCCGGUGGAUACUGUCGAGCUCGAGUCCGGAAGAGGCGAGUGGAAUUCCUGGUGUAGCGGUGAAAUGCGCAGAUAUCAGGAGGAACACCAAUGGCGAAGGCAGCACUCUGGGACGUGACUGACGCUGAGACGCGAAAGCGUGGGGAGCAAACAGGAUUAGAAACCCU